UACGAAGGGGGGCUAGCGUUGCUCGGAAUCACUGGGCGUAAAGGGCGCGUAGGCGGCUUUUUAAGGGUGCGGUGAAAGCCCGAGGCUUAACCUCGGGUCUGCAGUCGAUACGGGCUAGCUAGAGUGUGGUAGGGGAGAUCGGAAUUCCUGGUGUAGCGGUGAAAUGCGCAGAUAUCAGGAGGAACACCGGUGGCGAAGGCGGCAUCCUGGACCGAUACUGACGCUGAGGAGCGAAAGCCAGGGGAGCAAACGGG
rnacentral:rRNA from 1 species